rnacentral:misc_RNA from 1 species
UCACCUGUUUAUUAUUUCAUCAUGAGGGUUGAUAACGUGAGCGGAGAGACAUUCAGAUUUUUAAAAUAAACAUAUCCAUAAGGAAAUGGUGUCACCGUGCUGAAGAUGGCAAAUCACCCACUGUUUCUGGCUUCUCUAUAUCUGCCCUUUGACUCCUCACAGAAGAGCUGAGUAAGGUAACAGCCUGCGAGGAAGAAUAAGGAAUGUAAAUAAAUGAAGGAGCAGACCCCAACCCCAUCACAUAGCAUGGGACAGCUCAGACGGCAAUGAACGUUCGGCUAAAAUAGAAACGAGCACACGCAAGAUAGCUGGGGAUAGAUCAGACGAAAUUCCACCAAAAAUGCAAAAAAUUUAG